rnacentral:lncRNA from 1 species
AUGGCUAGUGGUGUGAAAUCAAUAAGCAUGUAGAUAGGCAGAUUCGACAUAGUCUAAACUAUUUUUUUGUUGGAGCUUGGAGUAUUUGGAAUCAUCAUAAUCAUUGUGUUUUUUUAUGGAGCCUCAUCAAAUAUGAGAGCAUCACAUUGUUGGUAGCUGAGGAGAUGAGAUUAUGGGGUUUGUUUGGGAGCUUAGUGCAUUGCUUACCUAGUUGCCUUGUCUAAUGAGA